CUAGUAAAAUUCAUCUACAGCCUCAUAAAGUUUCGUUAUUUAUCAGAAUUAAAAUUUUAUAUAGGCAUCUGAUACUAAGACAUUGACUGUAAUAUAUAUAUAUACUAAUAUCAGAUGUGGAAACUUGAUACAUAAGAGCUAUUAUGGAACUUUUUUGGUUAUCAAUAAAAAAAUUGAGCCUCUAUGGAUGACAUAAUUAUUAAAGUAACUAAACUAGAAAUUAUAAUUUGAAUUACAAUGCUUUAUAAAAGUUGAGUCAAGAUGUUUGAAUUGUGUCUUAGUUAAUUUGCAAACACACAUGAUGAUAUACAUGGAUCCAUUAAUAUUACAUCUUAGCCCCAAACAUAAAAGACAAUGUGGGGAGGAUUAAUUUAGUGUUUUGUUUUUAAUGUGAAGUUUGAUUUGAUUGUACUAGUUCCUAGACAAUUAAUUAAGUACUGGAGGAAGAGAUUAUAGCGCAGUAAGGGAUUAAAGAAGUCCCAAACACGAAGUGUCCAAAUAUUAGGAAGGAAUAUAUAUGGAAAAUGUAAAAACUACUUCAAUGACAUUGAGAUCAUUGAAAUGACAAAAGUAAGUUAAAAGAAUAAAGAGACAUUUGAGAAAGAGAAAAAUGAACAAGUACACAAAGAAAAAGAAAGGAAACAAUAUUUCUAUAAUAAAAAUUAUCAACAACUUCAUAACAUAACUUUUUUGAUACACCGGUCUAAUAUGUUUGGAUUUUAUCAAUAAGUCGACAAAAACGUAUGCUUAUGUUUCUAUGAAGUCAUGUGCAAGGCAAUCCCAAACAUGAAAACACAAUGAGAAUCCAAUUGUCUUUGACUCGAUCAGGUCGAAUUCUUUUUUGAAACGAUUAAUUUUAUCAACGAUAUGAGCUAACUUUGAAUAUAUCUAGUGACUUGGUAUGAUGGUUUCCAAAUAAGCAAAGCACUAGUAAGGUAGAAAAUGUGAUUGAACUAUAAAGAGAGUGACAGUCAGAGGAUUCCUAAACCACGGUUAUUCUCGCAGAAAAAGAAAAACAAAAUCAACUAUGUGACAACUUAGAAGAACAACAGAAAGUUAAAGUAGAUAGAUAAAGAGGCCACAUGCCUACAUUUGUCAAGGUUUCAAAGAUUAAACAUAUUUUAGAAUUUAAAAUAAAAUAAAUAAUAAUAAUAAUCUGCGGUGAUAACUAAAAGAAGAAGAAAAUGCCAAAAUCAAAUGAAAACCCAAAUUAGUUAAAUAAUGUCUCUUUUAAUUUAGAGUACAGAAAACAAACCAGAAAAGGGACAAACUGGAAGAACUUAAAAGGUGACUAAUUUUCUUAUCGAGAAAAAAAAAAAGAGAAGAAGAAGAAACAAAGCAAGAACCGAACACAGAUCUGCAAGUUUCUUUUCCUCAAUUUUAAAGAAGUUUACUAAUCUGCAAAAACGGUAAUCAAACCCGAACAAAGUUAGAAGAAAGUAAACUAAAGGAGAUCUGUUACCAGAGGAAAAAAAAAAAACCCUAAAUCUGGGUUAGUUAUGAGAAACAAGAGCUUUGACUGUUAAUUAUUACAAAAACCAAAAGAAUCCGACCACAAAUGUACUUGUUAGAUAGAGAUGCAGCAGAUCCAGACAUAGAUAUAUAGAGAA